CCUACGGGAGGCUGCAGUGAGGAAUAUUGGUCAAUGGACGAGAGUCUGAACCAGCCAAGUAGCGUGAAGGAUGACUGCCCUAUGGGUUGUAAACUUCUUUUAUAUGGGAAUAAAACAGGGUAUGCAUACCCUCUUGUAUGUACCAUAUGAAUAAGGAUCGGCUCAAUCCGUGCCAGCAGCCGCGGUAAUACGGAGGAUCCGAGCGUUAUCCGGAUUUAUUGGGUUUAAAGGGAGCGUAGGUGGAUGGUUAAGUCAGUUGUGAAAGUUUGCGGCUCAACCGUAAAAUUGCAGUUGAAACUGGCAGCCUUGAGUACAGUAGAGGUGGGCGGAAUUCGUGGUGUAGCGGUGAAAUGCUUAGAUAUCACGAAGAACUCCGAUUGCGAAGGCAGCUCACUGGACUGCAACUGACACUGAUGCUCGAAAGUGUGGGGAUCAAACAGGAUUAGAUACCCCAGUAGUC
rnacentral:rRNA from 1 species